rnacentral:rRNA from 1 species
UACAGUGGCGCACGGGUGAGUAACACGUGGGAAUCUACCCCUUUGUGAAGGAUACCUUGGAGAAAUCCAGGCUAAUACUGCAUAAGCCCAGAAAUGGGGAAAGGUGGCCUCAAGCUACCGCGGAGGGAUGUGCCCGCGUCCUAUUAGUUAGUUGGUAGGGUAAUGGCCUACCAAGACAAAGAUGGGUAACCGGCCUGAGAGGGUGUUCGGUCACACUGGAACUGAAACACGGUCCAGACUCC